rnacentral:rRNA from 1 species
AUUGAACGCUGGCGGCAGGCUUAACACAUGCAAGUCGAACGAGCGGCGGACGGGUGAGUAAUGCUUGGGAAUCUAGCUUAUGGAGGGGGAUAACUACGGGAAACUGUAGCUAAUACCGCAUACCAUCGGAUGAGCCCAAGUGGGAUUAGGUAGUUGGUGUGGUAAAGGCUCACCAAGCCGACGAUCUCUAGCUGGUCUGAGAGGAUGACCAGCCACACUGGGACUGAGACACGGCCCAGACUCCUACGGGAGGCAGCAGUGGGGAAUAUUGCGAAAUGGGGGCAACCCUGACGCAGCCAUGCCGCGUGAAUGAAGAAGGCCUUCGGGUUGUAAAGUACUUUCAGUCGGGAGGCGUUACCGACAGAAGAAGAACCGGCUAACUCCGUGCCAGCAGCCGCGGUAAUUC